GGAAGUGUGGCCGAGCGGUUGAAGGCACUGGUCUUGAAAACCGGCGACCCGAAAGGGUUCCAGAGUUCGAAUCUCUGCGCUUCCGCCA
rnacentral:tRNA from 1 species